UACGAAGGGGGCUAGCGUUGUUCGGAAUUACUGGGCGUAAAGCGCACGCAGGCGGAUUGAUUAGUCGGGGGUGAAAUCCCGGGGCUCAACCUCGGAAUUGCCUUCGAUACUGUCAGUCUUGAGUCCGGGAGAGGUGAGUGGAAUUCCUAGUGUAGAGGUGAAAUUCGUAGAUAUUAGGAAGAGCACCAGUGGCGAAGGCGGCUCACUGGCCCGGUACUGACGCUCAUGUGCGAAAGCGUGGGGAGCAAACAGG
rnacentral:rRNA from 1 species